rnacentral:sRNA from 1 species
AACAGCCCUUGCCCACCGCAGUUCCUCAUGUUGCCCUGCUGACAUCGGUAUGUAUACACACACACACGUGCACACAUGUGAACAUGGUUGCACAUAUGCUCCCCACGCAUACACACACGCUCAGCCCCUCCGCCUUCCAGAGGCAAGCGUCCGCCAGCCCAGCUUGGCUGCUUUCUUGCCAAACCCCGGGGUUCCCACUCGAGCACAGCGGUCUUGGCCUGGCCCCGAACAGGCCUCUGACGCCGAGGAGCCAGCCAGAAACCAGCGGUGGAGGCAGGAUUGACCAUGGGCACCAUGAAGGCAAAGCCAAGCAGGCCCUGCACGAGGCGGUGGAGAUGGACCGGGCCAUCGGGCAGGCAGGCAGCUUGACCUCCUCGGAAGACACUCUGACCGUGGUCACUGCGGACCAUUCCCACGUCUUCACCUUCGGUGGAUACACCCCCCGUGGCAACUCUAUCUUUGGUCUGGCCCCCAUGCUGAGUGACACAGACAAGAAGCCCUUCACUGCCAUCCUGUACGGCAAUGGGCCUGGCUACAAGGUGGUGGGCGGUGAGCGAGAGAAUGUCUCCAUGGUGGACUACGCUCACAACAACUACCAGGCGCAGUCUGCUGUGCCCCUGCGCCACGAGACCCACGGCGGGGAGGACGUGGCCGUCUUCUCCAAGGGCCCCAUGGCGCACCUGCUGCACGGCGUCCAUGAGCAGAACUACAUCCCCCACGUGAUGGCGUAUGCAGCCUGCAUCGGGGCCAACCUCGACCACUGUGCCUCUGCCAGCUCGGCAGGCAGCCUUGCUGCAGGCCCCCUGCUGCUCGCGCUGGCCCUCUUCCCCCUGAGCGUCCUGUUCUGAGGGCCCAGGGCCUGGGCACCCACAAGCCCGUGACAGAUGCCAACUUCCCACUCCCCAGUGCUGCCCACUGCCUGGCAGCCCACCCCUCAAGGGGCAGGGAGGUGGGGGUCUCCUCAGCCUCUGCAACUGCAAGAAAGGGGACCCAGGAAACCAAAGUCUGCCGCCCACCUCGCUCCCCUCUGGAAUCUUCCCCAAGGGCCAAACCCACUUCUGGCCUCCAGCCUUUGCUCCCUCCCCGCUGCCCUUUGGCCAACAGGGUAGAUUUCUCUUGGGCAGGCAGAGAGUACAGACUGCAGAAAUUCUCAAAGCCUCUUAUUUUUCUAGCAAACGUAUUUCUUCAGACCCAGAGGCCCUGAAGCCUCCAUGGAACAUUCUGGAUCUGACCGUCCCACUCUCAUCUCCUUCCCUCUGGAACCCCCCGGGCCCUACCAUGCUCAUGUCCCUGUCCCCAGGCCCAGCCCUCCUUCAGGGAAGAUGAGGUCUUUCUCCUCAGGACAAGGCCUUGCUCACUCACUCACUCCAAGGCCACCAGGGUCCCAGGAAGCCGUUGCCUGGGUGGCCAUCCUACCCCACGUGGCCCAGGCCGGGAAGAGCCACCUGGCAGGGCUCAUGCUCCUGGGCUCUGAACACACAUGCCAGCUCCUCUCUGAAGCGACUCUCCUGUUUGGAACGGCAAAAAUUUUUUUUUUCCUCUUUUUGGUGGUGGUUAAAAGGGAACACAAAACAUUUAAAUAAAACUUUCCAAAU